rnacentral:rRNA from 1 species
CCUACGGGAGGCAGCAGUGGGGAAUAUUGCGCAAUGGGCGAAAGCCUGACGCAGCGACGCCGCGUGAGGGAUGAAGGUCUUCGGAUCGUAAACCUCUGUCAGCAGGGAAGAACGGUCACUGUGCUAAUCAGCAGUGAAUUGACGGUACCUGCAAAGGAAGCACCGGCUAACUCCGUGCCAGCAGCCGCGGUAAUACGGAGGGUGCGAGCGUUAAUCGGAAUUACUGGGCGUAAAGCGCUCGUAGGCGGUAUGUCAAGUCAAGGGUGAAAUCCCCGCGCUCAACGUGGGAACUGCCUUUGAAACUGGCAAACUGGAGUGUGUGAGAGGAUAGUGGAAUUCCAGGUGAAGGAGUGAAAUGCGUAGAUAUCUGGAGGAACAUCAGUGGCGAAGGCGACUAUCUGGCACAUAACUGACGCUGAGGAGCGAAAGCGUGGGUAGCAAACAGGAUUAGAUACCCGAGUAGUC